UUGCUUUAGCAGCACGUAUACUAAAACUGGAAUGAUACAGGUAAGAUUAGCAUAAGUUCCUGUGUAAGGAUGACAUGCAAAUAAAUGAAGCAUUCCAUAUUUUU
ensembl:snRNA U6 U6 spliceosomal RNA